AUUGAACGCUGGCGGCAGGCCUAACACAUGCAAGUCGUGCGAGCGGCGGACGGGUGAGUAAUGUCUGGGAAACUGCCUGAUGGAGGGGGAUAACUACUGGAAACGGUAGCUAAUACCGCAUACCAUCAGAUGUGCCCAGAUGGGAUUAGCUCGUAGGUGGGGUAACGGCUCACCUAGGCGACGAUCCCUAGCUGGUCUGAGAGGAUGACCAGCCACACUGGAACUGAGACACGGUCCAGAAUCCUACGGGAGGCAGCAGUGGGGAAUAUUGCACAAGAGGCGCAAGCCUGAUACGGCCAUGCCGAGUGUGUGAAGAAGGCCUUCGGGUUGUAAAGCACUUUCAGCGGGAAGGCGUUCCCCGCAGAAGAAGCACCGGCUAACUCCGUGCCAACAGCCGCGGUAAUUC
rnacentral:rRNA from 1 species